UGUAGCCUACUCCUUCUCAUUUAGCCAACUUAAUUCCAUAAUUUUAAUUCCAUUUUGCAUUGAUUAGAAAAACCCCACUUCACAUGGAGCCUCUUAAAAUAGGCCUAUAUAUUUUUUCUAAAAAUGAUAUACUCUCCGAAGUACUUCAAUACUAACGUCUUUUCAAAUAAUCGUGCCCAUCCCCAAUGUAAAACGUUGUAGGCCUACACGUCUAUGUUUUAUAGCCUAUGCAAUGACUAUUAGGCCAUAGCAGCGUGUUUGUCCGCAAGGCUGAAGAUGUAUCUCCUAAUUAAAUUCAUUCUUAAGGGGUUUACAGACAAUAUGCAAACAAAGUCGACGGAGCGUAGUGCAGUGUUGCAAUUUCAUUUUUCGUCACAAGAGGAGUGGCUCCUUGUAAUAUGCUCAGUUGUUCAACGCCGUUUUAUUCUACCUGGAAAUUGAAACUCGACGUCUCAUUCCUUGCAAAGACUGAGGGGAAGUAUUGAGUGAGUUUUUCAACUGAAGUAUUUGACGGUAUCCCUUUUGGUAUAAACAUGGAAGAGAUGGACGUUCUGCUACUUGCAAGCGUCCUUUUUUAUGCUUUUAUUUGAGAGAUGUCUUUGUCCAGUUUUGAGGAGCGUCUGUGCGAGCUGGUGAAAAUGAGAACCUUCACAAUUCUUCGAUGCGGUAGCUUUCGGACAAGGACACAAAAAACAGCUGGAGGGAGAUAUCACGAAAUUUGAACACUGAUACUGAUAUCAAAGAUACAGGUCCCGAAUCUUUCUCCAUGUAUGUUCGCAAUCUGAAAAUGUUGAAGGCGGCUAGGAGUAGGGCUGGUGUUUGUGUCCCACCUAUUGUCUGACAACUGGAUUGGUUUCGUGUUCACGUCAAACAUCGCAAGACAGACACUAAUAUGCCAGGUGUUGAAAGGGGAUGGUGUUUUGGACAGUUCAGAGACGGAGCAGAGCCCUGAGGGCCAAUCUACAGGUGGUUCAUCGGCCCUUGAUUUAGCAUCUCCCCGGCCUGGUUCAUCACCUCUCCGGCCCAUUGCCCAACGUACCGUCCAGGUGCCCCCUUGCUCUCUGCAGCUGGCUCUGAUUGUAGUGUAAUAAAACAGGCAGGCAGCGUCUCGUCUGUGGUGGUCGGCGAACUCUCGACCUUCUGGCCUGUAGCCCUGCGUGGCAUGGACUGUGCCACAAAAGCAUGCUGAAGUGGUAAUCGAUAUUCAAUCUUAUAAAUAAAGGGUCUCUACAGUUA